rnacentral:rRNA from 1 species
ACGGCCAUCUUAGGCUGAAAUCACCGUAUCCCGUUCGCUCUGCGAAGUUAAGAACCCUGACGCUGAGACCGGGAGGUACCGGGAUCGAUACCCGUCGAGUGC